rnacentral:rRNA from 1 species
CAAUAGCGUAUAUUAAAGUUGUUGCAGUUAAAAAGCUCGUAGUUGGAUUUCUAGAUAAGUGGGUACUUGUACUUUGCUUGUCUACCAGUCAUAGACUGUUACUGUGAGAAAAUUAGAGUGUUUCAAGCAGGCUGUUGCAGGAAUACAUUAGCAUGGAAUAACGAAUGUGUCUGGAAUAUUGGUUAAUUCUAGAUUACGAUUAAUAGGGACAGUUGGGGGAGUUAGUAUUUAAUUGUCAGAGGUGAAAUUACUUGGAUUUAUUUAAAGAACUGACUUAUGCGAAAGACAUUUGCCAAGGAUGUUUUCAUUGAUCAAGAACGAAAGUUAAGGGGAGUCAAAGAACGA